rnacentral:tRNA from 1 species
GAGGGUAUAGCUCAAGUGGUAGAGUGCGUGCUUAGCAUGCAUGAGGUCCUGGGUUCAAUCCUAAGUACUCCCU